rnacentral:lncRNA from 1 species
ACAGGGUCAAAACAGGUUUACAAACCAAACCCACGUGCCCUCGGCACAAUCUGUGACCAAAACAAGAAUCUGAAUCCACCGCUAACCCGAACGGCACCCAACGACCCGAAACAGCCUAAACUCUGCUAACAAAUAAGCUCGGCAUCCCAGCACGAGCGUAAAUGCCUUCUAAACUACCCCAGAUAUCCAUCGCACUGCUACUGCAACGAUACAAUCGAAUCACGGCUCUUAGAGCUAAAUCUGGUAGUUUAAGCAUAUGACGAUUCCAAUCGUGUUUUCUCCU